rnacentral:rRNA from 1 species
AUGAAACGCUGGCGGCAUGCCUUACACAUGCAAGUCGAACGGCAGCACGGGGGCAACCCUGGUGGCGAGUGGCGAACGGGUGAGUAAUACAUCGGAACGUGCCCCGUAGCGGGGGAUAACCAGUCGAAAGACUGGCUAAUACCGCAUACGCUCUACGGAGGAAAGCAGGGGAUCGCAAGACCUUGCACUAUGGGAGCGGCCGAUGCCCGAUUAGCUAGUUGGUGAGGUAAAAGCUCACCAAGGCGACGAUCGGUAGCUGGUCUGAGAGGACGACCAGCCACACUGGGACUGAGACACGGCCCAGACUCCUACGGGAGGCAGCAGUGGGGAAUUUUGGACAAUGGGCGCAAGCCUGAUCCAGCCAUGCCGCGUGCGGGAAGAAGGCCUUCGGGUUGUAAACCGCUUUUGGCAGGAACGAAACGGCGCUCGCUAAUACCGAGCGCUAAUGACGGUACCUGCAGAAUAAGCACCGGCUAACUACGUGCCAGCAGCCGCGGUAAUACGUAGGGUGCAAGCGUUAAUCGGAAUUACUGGGCGUAAAGCGUACGCAGGCGGCUAUGUAAGACAGGUGUGAAAUCCCCGGGCUUAACCUGGGAACUGCAUUUGUGACUGCAUAGCUAGAGUCUGUCAGAGGGGGGUGGAAUUCCACGUGUAGCAGUGAAAUGCGUAGAGAUGUGGAGGAACACCGAUGGCGAAGGCAGCCCCCUGGGAUAAGACUGACGCUCAUGUACGAAAGCGUGGGGAGCAAACAGGAUUAGAUACCCUGGUAGUCCACGCCCUAAACGAUGUCGACUAGUUGUCGGGCCUUUACAGGCUCGGUAACGCAGCUUACGCGUGAAGUCGACCGCCUGGGGAGUACGGUCGCAGAUU